AAUCCAUAGGUUAAUGAGGCGAACCGGGGGAACUGAAACAUCUAAGUACCCCGAGGAAAAGAAAUCAACCGAGAUUCCCCCAGUAGCGGCGAGCGAACGGGGAGGAGCCCAGAGCCUGAAUCAGCAUGUGUGUUAGUGGAAGCGUCUGGAAAGGCGCGCGAUACAGGGUGACAGCCCCGUACACAAAAGCGCAUGUGCUGUGAGCUCGAUGAGUAGGGCGGGACACGUGGUAUCCUGUCUGAAUAUGGGGGGACCAUCCUCCAAGGCUAAAUACUCCUGACUGACCGAUAGUGAACCAGUACCGUGAGGGAAAGGCGAAAAGAACCCCGGCGAGGGGAGUGAAAAAGAACCUGAAACCGUGUACGUACAAGCAGUGGGAGCCCCACCACCAAAGCAUUUGCUGUACCGCGUUGACGGAGCGAAGCGACGUCAAACCGAUAAAACAGCAGUGUAAAGUGAGCCGCAGGGCGCUUUGCGCGACAGCGCAAAGGC
rnacentral:rRNA from 1 species